GAAGCACUUGAAACAGAUUCUUCGGAUGAAGUUUCCUGUGACUGAGUGGCGGACGGGUGAGUAACGCGUGGGUAACCUGCCUCAUACAGGGGGAUAACAGUUAGAAAUGGCUGCUAAUACCGCAUAAGCGCACGGCAUCGCAUGAUGCAGUGUGAAAAACUCCGGUGGUAUGAGAUGGACCCGCGUCUGAUUAGGUAGUUGGUGAGGUAACGGCCCACCAAGCCAACGAUCAGUAGCCGACCUGAGAGGGUGACCGGCCACAUUGGGACUGAGACACGGCCCAGACUCCUACGGGAGGCAGCAGUGGGGAAUAUUGCACAAUGGGCGAAAGCCUGAUGCAGCGACGCCGCGUGAAGGAUGAAGUAUUUCGGUAUGUAAACUUCUAUCAGCAGGGAAGAAAAUGACGGUACCUGACUAAGAAGCCCCGGCUAACUACGUGCCAGCAGCCGCGGUAAUACGUAGGGGGCAAGCGUUAUCCGGAUUUACUGGGUGUAAAGGGAGCGUAGACGGCUGUGCAAGUCUGAAGUGAAAGGCAUGGGCUCAACCUGUGGACUGCUUUGGAAACUGUGCAGCUAGAGUGUCGGAGAGGUAAGUGGAAUUCCUAGUGUAGCGGUGAAAUGCGUAGAUAUUAGGAGGAA
rnacentral:rRNA from 1 species